AGCGCAGGCGGAAAGAUAAGUCUGAAGUGAAAGCCCCCGGCUUAACCGGGGAACUGCUUCGGAAACUGUCCUUCUUGAGUGCAGAAGAGGAGAGUGGAACUCCAUGUGUAGCGGUGGAAUGCGUAGAUAUAUGGAAGAACACCAGUGGCGAAGGCGGCUCUCUGGUCUGCAACUGACGCUGAGGCUCGAAAGCAUGGGUAGCGAACA
rnacentral:rRNA from 1 species